rnacentral:rRNA from 1 species
AUUGAACGCUGGCGGCAUGCCUUACACAUGCAAGUCGAACGGCAGCACGGGUGCUUGCACCUGGUGGCGAGUGGCGAACGGGUGAGUAAUACAUCGGAACGUACCUUAUCGUGGGGGAUAACGCAGCGAAAGCUGUGCUAAUACCGCAUACGCCCUGAGGGGGAAAGCGGGGGAUCGCAAGACCUCGCGCGAUUAGAGCGGCCGAUGCCUGAUUAGCUUGUUGGUGGGGUAAAAGCCCACCAAGGCGACGAUCAGUAGCUGGUCUGAGAGGACGAUCAGCCACACUGGGACUGAGACACGGCCCAGACUCCUACGGGAGGCAGCAGUGGGGAAUUUUGGACAAUGGGGGCAACCCUGAUCCAGCAAUGCCGCGUGAGUGAAGAAGGCCUUCGGGUUGUAAAGCUCUUUUGUCAGGGAAGAAACACCGGCUCUAACACAGUCCGGGAAUGACGGUACCUGAAGAAUAAGCACCGGCUAACUACGUGCCAGCAGCCGCAGUAAAAC